ACGCAGCCGACGAGUCCCAAGUAGAACGAAACGCGCGUCCUGGAU
rnacentral:hammerhead_ribozyme from 1 species